GACGAACGCUGGCGGCGUGCCUAACACAUGCAAGUCGAACGGAGAUACGAUUUCGGUUGUAUCUUAGUGGCGAACGGGUGAGUAACGCGUGAGCAACCUGACCUUUAGAGGGGGAUAACACUUGGAAACAGGUGCUAAUACCGCAUAAGACCACGACCCGACAUCGGGAUGAGGUCAAAGGAGUAAUCCGCUAAAGGAGGGGCUCGCGUCCCAUUAGAUAGAUGGCGGGGUAACGGCCCACCAUGUCGACGAUGGGUAGCCGAGCUGAGAGGCUGAUUGGCCACACUGGAACUGAGACACGGUCCAGACUCCUACGGGAGGCAGCAGUGGGGAAUAUUGGGCAAUGGGCGCAAACCUGACCCAGCAACGCCGCGUGAGGGAAGAAGGUCUUCGGAUUGUAAACCUCUGUCCUUGGUGACGAAACAAAUGACGGUAGCCAAGGAGGAAGCCCCGGCUAACUACGUGCCAGCAGCCGCCGCGG
rnacentral:rRNA from 1 species